GAUGAACGCUGGCGGCGUGCCUAUCACAUGCAAGUCGAGCGAACAGACGAGGCUCUUUCUCCUCCUGUGUUAUCGGCGGACGGGUGCUUUACACGUGGAUAACCUACCUAUAAGACUGGGAUACCUUCUUGAAACCGGAGCUAUUACCGGCUAAUAUAUUGAACCUCAUGGUUCAAUAGUUAACGACGGUUUUGCUGUCACUUAUAGAUGCAUCCGCGCCGCAUUAGCUAGUUGGUAAGCUAACGGCUUACCAAGGCAACGAUGCGUAGCCGACCUGAGAGGGUGAUCGGCCACUCUGGAACUGAGACACGCUCCAGACUCCUACGAGAGGCAGCAGUAGGGACUCUCACCCACCGGGCGAAAGCGUGACGGAGCAACGAAGCGUGAGGGGUGAAGCCCUACGGCCCGCAGCACUCUCUAAUCCGCGCAGACGGAAAGUGAAAAUGGCUAAGGAGGUAUUGCCGGUACCUAGAAGGCACAACACGGCUACAUACAUG
rnacentral:rRNA from 1 species